CCUACGGGCGGCUGCAGUGGGGAAUAUUGGACAAUGGGCGAAAGCCUGAUCCAGCCAUGCCGCGUGUGUGAAGAAGGCCUUCGGGUUGUAAAGCACUUUCAGUGGGGAAGAAAGCCUUGGGGCUAAUACCCUCGAGGAAGGACAUCACCCACAGAAGAAGCACCGGCUAACUCCGUGCCAGCAGCCGCGGUAAUACGGAGGGUGCGAGCGUUAAUCGGAAUUACUGGGCGUAAAGCGCGCGUAGGCGGUCUGAUAAGCCGGUUGUGAAAGCCCCGGGCUCAACCUGGGAACGGCAUCCGGAACUGUCAGGCUAGAGUGCAGGAGAGGAAGGUAGAAUUCCCGGUGUAGCGGUGAAAUGCGUAGAGAUCGGGAGGAAUACCAGUGGCGAAGGCGGCCUUCUGGACUGGCACUGACGCUGAGGUGCGAAAGCGUGGGUAGCAAACAGGAUUAGAUACCCUUGUAGUC
rnacentral:rRNA from 1 species